GACGAACCGAGCGAACGUUGUUCGGAAUCACUGGGCUUAAAGGGCGCGUAGGCGGGCUGCCGAGUCCGGGGUGAAAGCCCCCCGCUCAACGGGGGAACGGCCUCGGAUACUGGCGGCCUGGAGGCGGGUAGGGGCGUGCGGAACUGUGGGUGGAGCGGUGAAAUGCGUUGAGAUCCACAGGAACUCCGGUGGCGAAGGCGGCACGCUGGACCCGAACUGACGCUGAGGAGCGAAAGCGUGGGGAGCAAACAGG
rnacentral:rRNA from 1 species